GUUCCACACCCGGCCCGCUCGGCGUAGCCCUACAGCGAGGCCGCCGACUCACCCUGCGUCCUCUCGGCCGUGCUGGUGAGGAGGCGAGGAGGGCGCAGCGCCGGGCUAGAAUAACUCGUGUUUGCGGACCGCGGACACUGCACCGGCCUCUGUGUUCAACGAUUUACUCGCGGUGCAGCUAUUAUUCGCAUCUUUCAGAGCCAGAUGCGGAGAUUCAGAAAGGUAAAGCGACUUGGCCGCAGUCACAGAAAGUGAUGAAAUCGGACUGGAACCCGAGAUGCUUUUGAACACCCUAAACCCUGCUGCUAAUCUGGGACUCAAGGCUUCGCCGCUGUCGAGAAUACAUCGCACCCCGGUAGAAAUUCACAAGAGGAAACGAAGAAGGGAAAAACGUGAAUGAAAAAUGCAAGUUCUCACAAUGCUGUUCAGGUUGGCCUGAAACUCAUGGCAAUCCCUCUACCUCAUCUUUCCAAAUGCUGGGAUUACAGGUCUGCAAAGCCUCCUGGAGAAUCCAUAGAGAAUCAACAUGUGUCCUUAACCCAUCCUUUCUGUGUUAUCUCUUCCCUUCUGAUGUUUUGUAAGGCAGAAAAGCAAGCAAUAGCCCAUGAAUCACUUUGGAUGCUAUGAAUGGUUCUAAUGUGGAUUCUUCUGAGGCAGUAAUUUUAAAAUACUACAUCAGAACUAUCAUGAAAGACUUGAAUUAGGAGCAAAUCUAUCCAGUCACUUACCAAGAGUAAUGGCUCUUUGUUAUUUCAUUUGGUAGGCCAGCCACUGAUCAUAACCAAAAAGUUGCUAUCCAAGUCAUCUGUAUUGAAAGGCAAAGUUUUCCUUUCUAUUGACACUCCUUAUUUCUCUUCUUCUUCUUGUCCUUCUUCUGUGAUUUUUUUGAGACAGGGUCUCGCUAGUAGUUUA